rfam:Triticum aestivum genome assembly, contig: Triticum_aestivum_CS42_TGACv1_scaffold_424179_5BS
AAGCAAAUGAUGGUUCCACAUUAUGUUUCUGAUACAUUUGAUGUUUCAAAAUCUUGAGCUUUUUGAUAUUGAAGCUCA